rnacentral:lncRNA from 1 species
CUUUUGGGAGCUUUUAAGGAGCAUCUUGAGCAACAAUGGCACAAAAGAAAGAUCCAGUCUGCCAUGCUUUUUGAGGAUCUACUUGACAUGUGAACUGGAUCAUACUUCUGUGUAACCUGGUAAAGAAUACAGAGUAAGAGAAAUGUUAUUCCAAAGAGGAGGAGAGUAAGUGUAUCAGAAAAGUACGUCCUGGGAAGCCUGAAAAGUACAAAAAAGGGUGUGGCGUGGCCUCUGGGUUGUCCAGCCUCUGGUUCCUAGAAAUCUAGGUAGUGUCAGUCAUGGACUCCAUCUCAUAACAUGGACCUCAAAUUUGACCAGUGAUUGGUUGUCCACUAUCACAAGUUCUGCUCCAUCAUUAUGCCAGCACAUCUUAGAGCCUCCCUCAGCCCUGAAGCAGGCUGAUCCAGACUUUGACCCUGCUGUCACUGAGAAGGAGCUUACCUAGGGUUGGAGCCUUCCGACCUAGAUGGCUCUUUUGUUCUGUCACCUGCCACUGCUCUCUCCAAAACACUGCUACCUGCUGAAAAGCCCUUGAGACAUUCCAGAGGAACAUCCUAUUCUGCACAUCGCCUACAGGCUGGUUCCAGACACCAAGAAUGGACUGGCGGGGGAUGGGCCUUCCUUUUAUAAGUAGACUCUCUUAGUAAACUGGCAGGCCUUGAACAGAAU